AAUAGAAUAGAAAAAGUUUAUUAUAAAAGGACGCCACAUACAAAAAAAAUAAGACAACAACAUCAUAUCUAUCCACUAAAACAAUUACAAAAAAAGCAGGAUAUUUGUCGAAAUGAUCAUAAGGUGGUGGUGGACGUCCUGAGAUAAAAGGGCCUCACUCAGCACAAGUCGCGGCGUGAACCACGACGCUGGUAUUAUGUGGACCCUGUCGGGUGACGCACAAACAUCGUGCUCCAUAAACAUGUGUUAAUGGUGUAUAUACAUUAUAAUAUAUACCAAAUUAAAAAUACAUUAUAAUAUAUAUUUUAAUAGAAUUAGAGUGUACAUAGACAAAUAUCGCAAUUAUGUAUACAUAAAUACUUAAGUUUAGAAUAAAAAAGAAAGUUAUUCAUGUAGAUAAAACUAGUAAAUAAAUGUAAUAAUAUAAACAAAUACGAAUUCCAUGAAUGUGUAUUGUGUAGUCUGUCUGUGUUAGUACCUAUCUAUCGCGCGCGCCGCACCCCGAUUCUAGCUCGGUCGGUAAAGUAGUUUGGACACUACUACGAGUAGUACUUAUAAAUAUUAUUUUUUUUCCCAUUCGACCGCCGCGCCGUCGAACGGGCACGACGUAUUCCUAAAGUAAAGCGAAAUUAUAAAUUUGUAGAUUUGUAAUAGAAUUGCGUAUAUUAAUUAAAAAGAAAAAAUAAAGUAAAUCAAAUAAAGCAAAUAUACAUUAACCAAAUUAGAAAUAAUAAAUUACGUCCAAUACAUUCAACAACAUCCAUAAUAAAUAAUAGAAAUAAAUGCAGUCGUUUGAGAACCCCAACAAACAAUCCAUGAGACCAUGCAAACAUUACCCGACGGAAAAUAAUAAUAAUCAUGACAAAGGUUGUGUCGCCGCAUCCAGCCCGCUAGGAGGACUCCGCCACGUUGACGUGUCGAAACCAAUUAGACUACGAAACGGCGGCGGCAAAUCGUUCCAGCACUUGGAUGCGGCGAAACUGAAACUGCCACGGAAAGC